rnacentral:lncRNA from 1 species
AUGUUCAUCAGAGGGAUGUCUUGGGUGCAGAUGACAUCUGACUGCCUGAGGGACACAGCUCCAACCUCUACGUGUCUUGGGAAACCUUUUGGAGAGCUUCCCUCAGGAAAACAGAGGGAAAGAGACAGAGAGGAAGUUGCCUGGUUAUUCAGGCAGAGCACUCCUGAGUGGAAACAGGAGGAUGUGGAGAGAUUUUGCAAUUUGAGUCAGUUCCAGAGUAGAGGAACACUCUUCAUUCAAAACUUGCUCAAGUACAAAGUCAUUUUGAAAACAGAAGAAGGAAUCUUUCACAACUGAGUCAAAUCUAAAUGAUGGGGUGACAUUUGCUGCUGCUCCAGCCAGGUGAGCACCCUGCUAUGAAGAAAUCUCAUGUGAUGGGAGUUGCAUGAUGUGGCUGUAACACAUCCAGCUGCAUGCCUUCCUAAGGAAUCCUGCUGGU